GUUUAAGAGAUCUAAAAUAUGGUCAUACAGAAUAAGGCAUUAAUAUGUGCUUUAUAAGUAUUAAUAUACAGCCAAUAUGCAAGUAAUGCAUUCAACUUGUUAAUAGUGAAAAUUGUUCUUUAUCCAACUUAUUUUCCC